GCUGGGCAUGGUGGUGCAUGCCUGUAGUCCCAGUUACUUGGAAGACUGAGGUGGGAGGAUCACUUGAGCCCAGAAGGUUGAGGUUGCAGUGAGCUGAGAUUGUGCCACUGCACUCUAGCCUGGGUGACAGAGUGAGACCCUGUCUCUA
rnacentral:SRP_RNA from 1 species